UACGUAGGGGGCAAGCGUUGUCCGGAUUUAUUGGGCGUAAAGAGCGUGUAGGCGGCCCGGUAAGUCCGCUGUGAAAGUCGGGGGGCUCAACCCUCGGAUGCCGGUGGAUACUGUCGGGCUCGAGUACGGAAGAGGCGAGUGGAAUUCCUGGUGUAGCGGUGAAAUGCGCAGAUAUCAGGAGGAACACCUAUUGCGAAGGCAGCUCGCUGGGACGUUACUGACGCUGAGACGCGAAAGCGUGGGGAGCAAACAGG
rnacentral:rRNA from 1 species